rnacentral:rRNA from 1 species
AGGGUUUGAUCCUGGCUCAGAACGAACGUUGGCGGCGUGGAUUAGGCAUGCAAGUCGAACGAUUUUUUGCCGUGUAGCAAUACAAGGCAAAAAAAGAGUGGCGAAAGGGGCAGUAAGGUUUGGAUAACCUACCCUGAGGUCGCGGAUAGCCUUCCUAACGGAUGGGUAAUACGUGGCGUUGUAUCGGAGAGGCAUCUCUUUGUUACCAAAGAAUUUCGCCUCGGGAGGGGUCCAAAUGAUAUUAGCUAGUUGGUGAGGUAACGGCUCACCAAGGCGAAGAUGUCUAGCGGGUGUGAGAGCACGACCCGCGCCACUGGCACUGAGACACUGGCCAGACUCCUACGGGAGGCUGCAGUCGAGGAUCUGGCAAUGGACGCAAGUCUGACCAAGCGACGCCGCGUGUGCGAUGAAGGCCUUCGGGUUGUAAAGCACUGUCGAGGGGGAGAAAGCCGAAAGGUUGAUCUAUCCCUGGAGGAAGCACGGGCUAAGUUCGUGCCAGCAGCCGCGGUAAGACGAACCGUGCGAACGUUGUUCGGAAUCACUGGGCUUAAACGGCGCGUAGGCGGGCGAUCAAGUCCGGGGUGAAAGCCUCCAGCUUAACUGGAGAAGUGCCUCGGAUACUGACUGUCUUGAGGAGGGUAGGGGCAUCUGGAACUAGCGGUGGAGCGGUGAAAUGCGUUGAUAUCGCUAGGAACUCCGAUGGCGAAGGCAAGGUGCUGGACCCUUUCUGACGCUGAGGCGCGAAAGCCAGGGGAGCGAACGGGAUUAGAUACCCCGGUAGUCCUGGCCCUAAACGAUGAGAACUAGAUAGUGGGGGUGAUAUGCCCUCACUGUCGGAGCAAAAGUGCUAAGUUCUCCGCCUGGGGAGUAUGGUCGCAAGGCUGAAACUCAAAGGAAUUGACGGGGGCUCACACAAGCGGUGGAGCAUGUGGCUUAAUUCGAGGCUACGCGAAGAACCUUAUCCUAGGCUUGACAUGUGCGAAAGCGGCAGCAAGUACCCUGCGGAAACGUCAGGGGAACGGUAUCCAAUCCGGAAGCUGCUACAGGUGCUGCAUGGCUGUCGUCAGCUCGUGUCGUGAGAUGUCGGGUUAAGUCCCAUAACGAGCGAAACCCUUGUUUCCAGUUGCCAGCGGGUCAUGCCGGGGACUCUGGAAAGACUGCCGGUGUCAAACCGGAGGAAGGUGGGGAUGACGUCAAGUCCUCAUGGCCUUUAUGCCUAGGGCUGCACACGUGCUACAAUGCCGUGAACAAAGGGACGCAAACUUGCAAAAGGGAGCAAAUCCCAGAAAACACGGCCCAGUUCAGAUUGCAGGCUGCAACUCGCCUGCAUGAAGUUGGAAUCGCUAGUAAUCGCGGGUCAGCAACACCGCGGUGAAUGUGUUCCUGUGCCUUGUACACACCGCCCGUCAAGCCACGAAAGAGAGGGACGUCCGAAGUCGCCGUAAAAAGUGCCGAAGACGGACUUCUUGAUUGGGACUAAGUCGAAACAAGGUA